rnacentral:tRNA from 1 species
AUUAGAGCCUUAGUAGUA